rnacentral:lncRNA from 1 species
UGUGCUCCCCUCUCAUGGCCCAUAUAUUCCCUCAGGGGUUCCGGUAACCCCUCCGGUACUCCGAUAAAUACCUGAUACACUCCGGAACACUUCCGGUGUCCGAAUACUAUCAUCCUAUAUAUCAAUCUUUACCUCUCGACCAUUUUGACACUCCUCGUCCUGUACGUGAUCUCAUCCGGGACUCCAAACAAUAUUCGGUCACCAAAUCACAUAACUCAUAUAAUACAAUAUCGUCAUCGAACGUUAAUAGUGCGGACCCUAUGGGUUCGAGAACUAUGUAGACAUGACCGAGACACAUCUCCGGUCAAUAACCAAUAGCGGAACUUGGAUGCUCAUAUUGGCUCCUACAAUUCUAUGAAGAUCUUUCUCGGUCGAACUGUUAUGGCAACAAACAUUAUUCCCUUUGUCUAUCGGUAUGUUACUUGCCCGAGAUUCGAUCGUCGGUGAACUUAGUUCAAUCUCGUUACCGGCAAGUCUCUUUACUCGUUCCGUAAUACAUCACCUCGUGACCAAAUCCUUAGUCGUUUGCUUGCAAGCUUAUGAUGUGUAUUACUGAGAGGGCCUAGAGAUACCUCUCCGAUACUCGGAGUGACAAAUCCUAAUCUCGAUCUAUGCCAACUCAACAAACACCUUCGAGAUAUCUGUAGAGCAUCUUUAUAAUCACCCAGUUACGUUGUGACGUUUGAUUACACACAAGGCAUUCCUCCGGUAUCCGGGAGUUGCAUAAUCUCAUAGUCGAAGGAAUAUGUAUUUGACAUGAAGAAAGCAAUAGCAAUAAAACUGAACAAUCAUUAUGCUAAGCUAACGGAUGGGUCAUGUCCAUCACAUCAUUCUCCUAAUGAUGUGAUCCCGUCCUCAAAUGACAACUCAUGUCCAUGGUUAGAAAACCUUAACCAUCUAAGACUAACAGGGAUUGAACUUGGGAUAUGGUGCUUUUGAACUCAUCUUGCCAGCCAGUGUAACUGAUGUCUUUUGGUGAUAAAUGAGAAGCGGAAAAUUACAUAACCACACACCACAACGUCAAGAUUUGAAAACAUGUUAUUUUCUUGAAAAUUUUCAACAAUUUCUAGAUACAAAUAUUCCUAAAAGAAAAACAAUUAAUUCCAAACAUUGUUUUUGUAAAAAUGUGAACAAUUUUAGGAAUUACAAACAUUUUUUUGAAAAAUAGAAAGAAAAUUUGAAAACAUGAACCAUUUUCAAAAUCCCCAAACAAUUUUUUAAAGUGCUAACACUUACUGAAUAAAACAAACAAAGUUUGAAAACACGAACAUUUUUUGAAACCUGAACAGUUUUUUUAAAGUUUGAAGAAUUUUUCAAAACAAGUUUUUUUGAAACAUAAAACAUAUUUUGUAAAAAUGGGAACAAAAUUUUAACGUGCGAAUGCUUUCUAACUUUUUGGUCAGGUUUCAAAAUUGUUUGUUUUUCAGAAAGUGUUCUCACUUUAGAAAAUUUUUUUGGGGAUUUAAAAUAUGGUCUGUGUUUUCAAAUUUUGUUUGUGUUUAUUUAAAAAGUUUGUAAUUUGAAAAAUUCCAAAAAAUGUUCGGAUUUCAUUUUUUUGAUACUUUUCAAGAAAAUAUUUUGAUUUUUAGAAAUGUCUUCAAAUCUCGACGCCGCGGGUUUCUUUUUUGGCGGGGUAAAAGAGAGUAUAAUUAGGUAGAGUGGCUAGCGGGACUAGUUCAACAACACCAGGAGUAUCACGGAAAUAAAACACGCUCCGCGCCUGGUAGGCUGGCUAGUAGUGUCCGGCGGCAGCUAACGAUUCCGGAUUGAGCUGCCAUGUCAACAAUUCUUAUUUGGGAACGACUUAAAGUUUAUUUAAAAUAGAUCGGGAACCAAGAGUUUGGUGUGCUGAUUUCAGGGGUUUAAUCUUCAGGGUUCGACUUAGUUUUCAUUAAAAAACAGGGUUUGUUUUGGACUUUUUCAAAAAAAAAAUAGAAUUAAACAGAUGGUAGGGAUAGAGAACGUCACACGCUGACACGCCUAAACAACCGAAGCGGCCGAACCACACCCGAUUCCGGUGGUCUCCGUUCCACACGGCCUAUUCACACCACCAAUUCGUGCAGGAGGCGCAUAGCCGGACCGUAUUAAAGCCAAACAACCGCGGUCGCGGCCGCCCCCUCUCUCCCUGCGUCUCUGGCUCGAGCCGUCUACGAUUUCCUCUCUUCGCCUUCCUCCCCCGCCGGCCCCUCCAAACCCUAGGCGCCGCCGGCCAGGUAACGAUCCGCCACGAAACCUCCAAUCUUUCGUGGUUUUCUCCGUCUCAGCGCCCGGGCAGAUCGCGGACGUGUUAUCUUCAAGAGAAAAUUAGCCGAUUCCUGCUCGAUCUGUGCGUUCGUUGGCUUUCGGAUCUUGCCUGGCCCGGCGGAUCCGAGGAGCGGCGAACGAUUUCUGUGGCGGGGUGGUUAGAUUCGUGGCUGUGCGGAUAAGAUAGAUGGAGGAGUGGUUUAACUUGAUUUGCCAUGACUUAGUAUCCUGAUGCCUUCGUAUACCGUCCUUAUAUGUACUAUACUCUCUAAUUUAACAGGAUGCCUUUGAACUUGACUGCUCAAUGCUUUCCUUUAUGAGAACUAGUUUAGGCAAGAAAGCCCGCCAGUAUACAUGUCACGAUUUCAUAGAAAGAGGAUUGAUUGUUUAGUAGUUUGUGGAAUAGAACAUAUUCCUGUUGUCAUUAUACUUCCUUAAAUGUGCUGCCUUUCUUUAGUCACUUGCCAACCGAUGUUUAGAGUUGCAAGUCUUGUAUAUAUGUUUCUUUUGGCAAAAAUGUUGGACUUUAGUGCUUUUAUCUCUUGGAGAUCUCAUUUAAGCUGUUAUCUCCCAGGAAGCCCAUUUACCAGCCAUGUUUGGACGCAUGCCAAGGAAGACCAGCAACAACACCAAGUACUACGAGGUGCUUGGUGUAUCCAAGACAGCAACCCCGGAUGAGUUGAAGAAAGCUUACCGGAAAGCUGCUAUAAAAAACCAUCCUGAUAAGGGCGGAGACCCUGAGAAGGUGUGUUGGCAAGCGCUUUUGUAUGUGCCUACUUUUGCUAUUGUUAGAUUGGUGUUUGUUGACGCUUCUUUGUAUCUUGCGCAGUUUAAAGAAUUGGCACAAGCUUAUGAUGUUCUCAAUGACCCUGAAAAGAGGGAGAUUUAUGACCAAUAUGGAGAAGAUGCAAUCAAAGAAGGGAUGGGAGGCAGCGGCGGCGCUGAUAUGCAUAGCCCCUUUGACAUAUUCGAACAGCUAUUUGGGGGUGGCGGCGGCGGCUUUGGAGGUAGUAGUUUUAUGAUAUGAAAUUCUUUGUGCUUUGUUCCAUUAUCCUGCUUUGAGCGAGUUAAAUAGUCAUGCACUCACUUUCUAAUAAUUAAAUACAUAUGCACUUACAUGUGAUUUUAUGGAUAAAAGGGGGUAGCUCGAGAGGACGCAGACAAAAGCGUGGUGAAGAUGUGGUGCAUACCAUGAAGGUUUCGUUAGAAGACUUGUACAAUGGUGCUACCAAGAAGCUAUCUUUAUCACGGAAUGUUCUUUGUGGAAAAUGCAAGGGGUAAGUUUUUGUAAGUUCUUAGUUGGUAAUCUGUCUUUCUUCUGUUAUUGUGCUCAAAUUUGGAGCAUAUGCAGUACUACUUUCUUAAGGAAGGAAUUCUGACAAAGUAUACAUGGUUAUCUGGUGUUAAUAUCAUUACCUCUGACUUUGUGACACAGUUCUGCUCUGUCUAAUAUAAAACCAUGAUGGGUGCUUCUGUAGAACAGCCCAAACUUGCUCUCUUUCUGUCCUCCUGAAAUAUUGUGGUGAAAGAGAUCCUAUGUUUCAGAAAACUUGGUUUUGCAAUAUUUCUAGAGCUAAAUCAUCAUGAUAUUAAUAUGCAAGCUAUCAGUUUUUUAUAUGUAAUAACAAAAGUAAUGUAGUUCAUGUAUUGCCUGGUAGUAUUGCUUUUUAUUUCAUCAGCCGAGAAGUUGAACCUUGUCCUGUUUAUAUUCACAUGUUUUUGUUGUAUGUACAAUGUCUACGCUGGUUCAAAUCCAGCUCGGCCCAAAAAUUUAGGGCUUCGUGAAUAUGAACUAAAUCCUUUUGUUUUUCUUCCAUAAAAUAAAAUGUCUGAUCUAUAGAAAUAAAAGAUAAAGAAAAAAGGGGGAUAUUUUUUCUAAUCCAUCUCUCUCUCAUCCUUUCUUACAAACAAAAGAGUCUUUUCUUAUUGAAGGGUGGAUCGUUGUCCAUUUUUGGUGAUAAAAAAUCACUGUAAAACAUGCUUUUGACCAGGUCUGGUUGCUGAAAGAUGUUAGUUGUUGUUGGAUUAUGUAUUUUUUUUGUUUGUCUUCCACUCAAAUUCUCUUAUUGUUCUCAGUGGCUGUUAAUUGGUUCCCGUAUUCUAUUCUUUUGCUCUUAAGGGGUAGCUAAUUGCCUGUCCUUGAUAUGCGCACACUUCCCAGUUAGUAGUCAGCGGUGGAAAGAAGAAAUGUGAUGACGUGACUUGAUUUUAUUCAUGGCAUAUCUGUAUAUAAUUCUGAAAUUGACUAUUCCCUAAAAAAUAUACUACCUCCAUCUGGAAUUAGUUGUCGCUAAAAUGGAUGUAUCUAGAUGUAUUUCAGUGCUAGAUACAUCUGUUUGAGCGACAAGUAAUUCCGCACAGAGGGAGUACUAGUUAGUUGAUGGAGUGGAAGUGGAGUGUGUUGAAACAAAUAGCCAUGUAACAACUACUGCUGCAUUGCAUCUUUGCAUGAGUGAGGGUGCAAGCUUUGAUUUAGCCCCUUGGAUCGAUGCAGAUUUGUUUGCUUCUGAUUCUGAUGUUGUUUAUUUUUACUCUUGUCAAUGUAGCUUGCAACUUGUACUUGUACUGCAGCUGUUGUUCUGUACAAGAUUAUUUUUCCAUGCCUGUAUUAGUCGUAGGGAUCUCACUGUAUCAUGUUGUACAUUCAGAAAGGGAUCCAAGAGCGGGGCAACGGCUACUUGCAGUGGUUGUCGUGGUGCAGGAAUGAGGAUGAUAACAAGACAGAUCGGACCUGGCAUGAUCCAACAGAUGAAUACUGUUUGCCCUGAAUGCAGAGGAUCAGGUAUGAUUCUGUUCUAUCUUCUUUAUUUAAUGAUUGUAUCUGUUUCCUUAGUAGUUUUGUAAUUCUUCAUCUGUCCAGGCGAGAUGAUAAAUGACAAGGAUAGAUGCCCAAGCUGCAGAGGGAACAAAGUAUCCCAGGAGAAGAAGGUCUUGGAGGUUCAUGUGGAGAAGGGAAUGCAACAUGGCCAAAAGAUUGUAUUCCAGGGUGAAGCUGAUGAAGCUGUGAGUCUCUUUUACACACACAAGCGUCAAAUGCACACAUGUCUGCAUCUGUUGAAGCACUCAACACUUGCAUGCACACAAUAUCUAGGAGUAUCCUUCUAACGAUGCUGAUUCAUGCUUUUGCAGCCUGAUACAGUGACAGGAGACAUUGUUUUUGUCUUGCAACUUAAAGAGCACCCAAAAUUCAAGAGGAAGUCGGAUGACCUAUUUGUUGAGCACACGAUCUCUCUGACUGAGGCUCUCUGUGGCUUUCAGUUUGUUCUGACCCAUCUUGAUGGUCGGCAGCUUCUGAUCAAAUCCAAUCCUGGGGAGAUCAUCAAGCCUGGUACAUCAAUUUCUUCUUGUGGAUCUGUUUUUCCUUGCCCCUUUGUUGAUAUCUGCCUUCCAGUUCCUCUAUCCUGUCGAUAAAAUUUCCCCCC